UUAACUGAGAACUUGAACUACCAGAGGGAAUAGAGAGGACGGCUAUCAGUACUGAUUCAAAUGCGAGGGGGGGAGCAUCUCUGUGAAUGAACCAGUAUUGAGUUGUAGGAUAUCCGCCACACCAGUAUGUAACAUAAUAACAAAAGACAUAUACUUUACAUCAUAAGUGAUACAUAUAGCACACAUAUUGUAUAUAAAAUAAAGAAGGGCAAACUCAAUCUAUGUCAAAGACUAGUAAUUAAUAAAAGCUCCACAAGUCAAAUAUGUCAUCUGACUAUUAAGCGCACUGCACUUCCAUUGAUUGCAAGAAAAAUGCAUAGCAAGUUUUGAGUCAUUAAAACCAAUGGUAACAAAGUUAUGCUCCAGACAAGCAGAAUCAAUCAAAGCAGAAUAAUUCAAAAAUGACAAUUGCAAGGAAGAGUUAUGAUUCUUGCACACUGCACUUCAUGUCAUUGCAAGAAACAUGCAUAGUAAGUUUUGAAUUAUUCUGCUCUGAU
rnacentral:sRNA from 1 species